GGCUCAGGACGAACGCUGGCGGCGUGCCCUAAUACAUGCAAGUCGAGCGGACAGAAGGGAGCUUGCUCCCGGAUGUUAGCGGCGGACGGGUGAGUAACACGUGGGUAACCUGCCUGUAAGACUGGGAUAACUCCGGGAAACCGGAGCUAAUACCGGAUAGUUCCUUGAACCGCAUGGUUCAAGGAUGAAAGACGGUUUCGGCUGUCACUUACAGAUGGACCCGCGGCGCAUUAGCUAGUUGGUGAGGUAACGGCUCACCAAGGCGACGAUGCGUAGCCGACCUGAGAGGGUGAUCGGCCACACUGGGACUGAGACACGGCCCAGACUCCUACGGGAGGCAGCAGUAGGGAAUCUUCCGCAAUGGACGAAAGUCUGACGGAGCAACGCCGCGUGAGUGAUGAAGGUUUUCGGAUCGUAAAGCUCUGUUGUUAGGGAAGAACAAGUGCAAGAGUAACUGCUUGCACCUUGACGGUACCUAACCAGAAAGCCACGGCUAACUACGUGCCAGCAGCCGCGGUAAUACGUAGGUGGCAAGCGUUGUCCGGAAUUAUUGGGCGUAAAGGGCUCGCAGGCGGUUUCUUAAGUCUGAUGUGAAAGCCCCCGGCUCAACCGGGGAGGGUCAUUGGAAACUGGGAAACUUGAGUGCAGAAGAGGAGAGUGGAAUUCCACGUGUAGCGGUGAAAUGCGUAGAGAUGUGGAGGAACACCAGUGGCGAAGGCGACUCUCUGGUCUGUAACUGACGCUGAGGAGCGAAAGCGUGGGGAGCGAACAGGAUUAGAUACCCUGGUAGUCCACGCCGUAAACGAUGAGUGCUAAGUGUUAGGGGGUUUCCGCCCCUUAGUGCUGCAGCUAACGCA
rnacentral:rRNA from 1 species